AGGCAAGGGGUGAAAGGUCACAAAAAUGGCGCUGGCCGUCAGUCUCUUACCCCGCUUGCUGCUUUCUCGGCCUCUGCCGGGCUCGGCUGCCCGACUCUGGACUCCCGGUUCGGCCGACGUGUGGCCGCCGUUGGCUGGACUUUGCUGCUUCUGCCGCCGCCGCCUCGGCUCGGGAGCGGCCCCAUUUCCUCGAGUCUCUUGGGCCUCCGUGGCCUUGGCGCUGCCAGCUCGAGCUCCUCAGCGUCCCCUGCUCAGCCCUCUGGGACUCCCCACAACCCUUCCCGCUUUCCCUUCCUGCCCUCGGCGAACCUACAGCACCGAGGAGCAGCCCCAGCAGCGCCAGAAAACCAAGAUGAUCAUCCUGGGGUUCUCCAACCCCAUCAACUGGAUUCGGACUCGAAUUUACUCCUUCCUUAUUUGGGCCUAUUUCGACCAAGAGUUCAGCAUUGCAGAAUUCUCAGAGGGAGCGAAGCAGGCUUUUGCUCAUGUGUCCAAGUUGCUGUCACAGAGUAAGUUUGAUCUAUUGGAAGAACUUGUGGCCAAAGAGACACUACGUGUAUUGAAAGAAAAGGUUACUUCACUACCUGACAACCAUAAAAAUGCCCUUGCUGCUGACAUAGAUGAAAUUGUAUAUACAUCAACAGGAGACAUCUCCAUUUACUACGAUGAGAAAGUGCCAACAUCCCCAGUGAAACUAUAAGUGGAGCCAGUGUGUUCCAGGUUAAGUUGGGGGAUCAGAACGUGGAAACUAAACAACUUCUUAGUGCGAGCUAUGAAUUUCAGAGGGAGUUUACACAAGGAGUAAAGCCUGACUGGACCAUUGCACGGAUUGAACACCCAAAGUUAUUAGAAUAAUCAAUCUUGGAAAAAUCAGCUUAUUGGACUUUUAGCAAUUACUGAGAAGAACUAAGGAAGAAAAAAUUUUCAGAUCAUUUGAUCUUCACUUAAUCAAGUCUGUGGAUUACUUUUGUAUUAUUUUGAAAUACUCCUUGUAGUAAAUUGGCAUGAUACAAUAAAGCAUUUUCCACAGAUUGUCAUCACUUUCUGUAGAAGGAAGUCAAAGUAAAAAAAUUACAGCAGCCCAUCAUUGGCAUCAUAUUCAGUAUCAUUUCUAAUGUUAUAUGUAUAUGUAUAUAUACACAAACUCAUUUUAUAGACAAUAAAGAAGAUAUUGAAAAAAUUACACAUUUUUAAAUUAAUAGUCCUUAAAUAUUUUAUUUGUGGUUAAUACACUUAUACCAAUAAUUCAAGUAUGUGUAAGAUUUCUUUUUCAAAAUGACUGCUGCUAUUUGAUUACCUCUUUGGUCACUAGCUGGAUGAGAAAGAACAGAUGGAAUUAUAGCAGAUGGGUCACUACAGUACUAAAAAUCAGUGAGGCUUACUAAAGCACAAAGAGAAAAAAGAAAUAGAACAGUAACUUACUCCCCUAUGAAGUAAUAUGAAGUCUUCUAACAUACUUGUAUUUGGACUCCUAGAAGUUGGGAUAGGGGAGACAAAAACAAUGUAAGAAAUAAUGUCUGAAAGUUUUCCUAAUUGAUGAAAACUAUAAAC